rnacentral:rRNA from 1 species
AUUUAACGCUGGUGGCAGGCCUAACACAUGCAAGUCGAACGAGUGGCGGACGGGUGAGUAAUGUCUGGGAAACUGCCCGAUGGAGGGGGAUAACUACUGGAAACGGUAGCUAAUACCGCAUACCAUCGGAUGUGCCCAGAUGGGAUUAGCUAGUAGGUGGGGUAACGGCUCACCUAGGCGACGAUCCCUAGCUGGUCUGAGAGGAUGACCAGCCACACGGGAACUGAGACACGGUCCAGACUCCUACGGGAGGCAGCAGUGGGGAAUAUUGCACAAAGGGCGAAAGGCUGAUGAGGCCAUGACGCGUGGAUGAAGAAGGCGUUCGGGUGGUAAAGUACUUUCAGCGGGGAGGCGGUACCAGCAGAAGAAGCACAGGCUAACUCCGUGCCAGCAGCCGCGGUAAUUC